GAUGAAGAACGUAGCGAAAUGCGAUACGUAAUGUGAAUUGCAGAAUUCAGUGAAUCAUCGAAUCUUUGAACGCAUAUUGCGCUCUCUGGUAUUCCGGAGAGCAUGCUUGUUUGAGUAUCAGUAAACACCUCAACUCCCUUUUCUUUUUUGAAAUUGGAGCUGGACUUGAGUGAUCCCAACGCUUUCUUCCAAGAAAGUGGCGGGUUGCUUGAAAUGCAGGUGCAGCUGAACUUUUCUCUGAGCUAUAAGCAUAUCUAUUUAGUCUGCCUAAAAAACAGAUUAUUACCUUUGCUGCAGCUAACAUAAAGGAGACUAGUUCUUGUGCUGACUGAUGCAGGAUUCACAGAGACAGCUUCGGCUGACUUUGUAAACUCGAUCUCUAAUCAAGUAAGACUACCCGCUGAACUUAAGCAUAUCAAUAAGCGGAGGA
rnacentral:misc_RNA from 1 species